UCUUGCCAAAGGCAUCGAUGGGUAGCUAUGUGUUGACUGGAUAAGUGCUGAAAGCAUCUCAGCAUGCAGCCCCCAUCACGAAGAGAGUACCCAUAGCGCAAGCUAGUAAGAUCCCUGAAAGAUGAUCAGGUUGAUAGGUCAGAGGUGGAAGAGUGGAGACAUGUGGUAGCUGACUGAUACUAAUCGAACGAGGACUUAACCAAA
rnacentral:rRNA from 1 species